UACGUAGGGUCCGAGCGUUGUCCGGAAUUACUGGGCGUAAAGAGCUCGUAGGUGGUUUGUCGCGUUGUUCGUGAAAACUCACAGCUCAACUGUGGGCGUGCGGGCGAUACGGGCAGACUUGAGUACUGCAGGGGAGACUGGAAUUCCUGGUGUAGCGGUGGAAUGCGCAGAUAUCAGGAGGAACACCGGUGGCGAAGGCGGGUCUCUGGGCAGUAACUGACGGCUGAGGAGCGGAAAGCCCAGGGGAGCGAACGGG
rnacentral:rRNA from 1 species